rnacentral:lncRNA from 1 species
ACAUCUUUGAUAAAACAUGUUUUACAGCUAGUGGUUAUCUAUCUUGUGACCUUUCAGCUGUUCAGCAGUAAAACAGAAACUUAGAGAACUUACAAAAUAUGCAGAGGGUAGAUAUGGUUAAUAUUUCACAGAGAAGUAUUUUCUGCCCUUGCUGGAGAGGAAUUUCAAUCAUUUGGAGAAGAUGAGGUCUGCUGCAGUUUGCGGGAGGUCCACUCCAGACCCUG